GCGUCGCCGGGGCGGGUCCCCCUCAAAGCCCUGGGGGACUCGUGCCCGGAAGGGGGGGCGGCGCCCACAGGCUCCUUCGCUGGCAGGGCCUCCAGCUCCGUAGAAUGCGAGAACUGGAAAGUGACAGGACCCAUGCUCCAUAGCCUAACUCCAGUAUCUCCUAGAAAGAAUCGCCCUGCUUGCAGCACCUGGCCUCGAUCUGCCGCAGGACAUCCAGACCUUCCGUGACCUCCCCGAACACCACGUGCUUGCCAUCCAGCCAAUCCAUCUUGUCACACGUCAGGAAGAACUGGGAGCCAUUGGUGUUGGGGCCAGAGCUGGCCAUGGAGAGCAGGCCUGCUGUCAGGGCAACAACGUCUAAACGCAGCAGCAUGUGGAUGCGGCCGCCGGCUUGUUCCCGAUCUUGAUGUCCUUGUACACCUGAGGAUUUGACCAGGCCUUUUUGGCAGCGGCCUCUCCCUGCAGACCCCAGUUCAGAGGCAAACCAUAGGAGACUCUUAACUACAGAAAACAAACUGAGGAUUGCUGGAAGUGAGGGUCACCUCCUGGUCCACAAUGGCUUCUUCCCCUGUUGGCUAGCAUGUUCAUAUUCUAGACAGCAGGUAAGAGAGAAGGCCAAAGGAGAAAAGAGAUCACGAGCCAGGUACCUUUUCAAAAAAGUUUUCAAAAGUUGCCUCAAUAAACUUGUGCUUAUAUCUUAUUGACUUGAAGAACCAGGUCACUUGGUCAAAUCUACUUGUAAAGGAGUCUAUUUUGGGUGCUCAAAUACCCAGUUAAAAAUAAGAUGUUUUGUGGGAGAACAGAAUAAUUUUUGGAGGACAAUUAGUAUUCUCAAGAACAUAGAAUUUCUAGGAUCUUUUAUAGGUAAAUUGAGUUUUCAGUCACCUUAGUGUCCUCCUAACAAACAGUAAUCUGGGCUGCAUGGAAAAGAAAUGGAAGUGGAAAUGAGUGGAAAUGUUAUAUGCUUUGGUUUUCAACACAAAUAGUAGGUAACUGUUUUAGAAUCAACAUCUUCACCAUGAAUUAUAGGUAUAGGUAGGUAAAAAGUUGCC
rnacentral:lncRNA from 1 species